AGUGGUCCAUCAGAAAAGGCAGAGCCUGUUCAGGUUUUUUGGAAAAGUGAGAAGAAAUUAAUUCAGCAAAUUAAUGAUGGGAGCACAACAAAGAGUUUCAGUUUCGGUCCGGCUUUCUACUCAAGCAUACAAGAGUGUUCGCUGCUGAAGAAACCAAUCAAGUUUACCAGGACAUCGCAAAGCCAUUGGUUGUUUCAACUGUGGGAGGAUACAAUGGCAUCCUCCGGAAAGACGUUCACAAUGAUGGGGAGUGAUCAUGUUCCUGGUGCCGUCCCACUGGUUGUUGAUGACGUCUUUGAAACUAUAAAAAAGUGUCCAAAGAAGGAGUUUCUUCUCAGAGUGUCUUAGGCGUAGAAA